UACGUAGGGUGCAAGCGUUGUCCGGAAUUAUUGGGCGUAAAGAGCUUGUAGGCGGUUUGUCGCGUCUGCUGUGAAAUUUCGGGGCUCAACCCCGAACUUGCAGUGGGUACGGGCAGACUAGAGUGUGGUAGGGGAGACUGGAAUUCCUGGUGUAGCGGUGAAAUGCGCAGAUAUCAGGAGGAACACUGGUGGCGAAAGCGGCUCACUGGACCACAACUGACGCUGAGGCGCGAAAGCUAGGGGAGCAAACAGG
rnacentral:rRNA from 1 species